rnacentral:rRNA from 1 species
CGGCAUCGCCGAGCUGGAAAAAAUUUUGAUGAAAGAUGNUCUCGCGGCCUAUCAGCUAGUUGGUGAGGUAAAGGCUCACCAAGGCGACGACGGGUAGCCGGCNNGAGAGGGCGACCGGCCACACUGGGACUGAGACACGGCCCAGACUNCUACGGGAGGCAGCAGUGGGGAAUAUUGCGCAAUGGGCGAAAGCCUGACGCAGCAACGCCGCGUGGGGGAUGAAGGCCUUCGGGUUGUAAACCUCUUUCAGCAGGGAAGAAGCGAAAGUGACGGUACCUGCAGAAGAAGCACCGGCUAACUACGUGCCAGCAGCCGCGGUAAUACGUAGGGUGCAAGCGUUGUCCGGAUUUAUUGGGCGUAAAGAGCUUGUAGGCGGUUAGUCACGUCGGAUGUGAAAUCCCGGAGCUCAACUCCGGGCCUGCAUUCGAUACGGGCUGACUCGAGUGUUGUAGGGGAGACUGGAACUCCUGGUGUAGCGGUGAAAUGCGCAGAUAUCAGGAAGAACACCGGUGGCGAAGGCGGGUCUCUGGGCAACUACUGACGCUGAGGAGCGAAAGCGUGGGGAGCAAACAGGAUUAGAUACCCUGGUAGUCCACGCCGUAAACGGUGGGCGCUAGGUGUGGGGAACAUUCCACGUUCUCUGCGCCGCAGCUAACGCAUUAAGUGCCCCGCCUGGGGAGUACGAUCGCAAGAUUAAAACUCAAAGGAAUUGACGGGGCCCCGCACAAGCAGCGGAGCAUGCGGCUUAAUUCGACGCAACGCGAAGAACCUUACCAAGGCUUGACAUAUAGCGAAAAGUGGCAGAGAUGUCAUGUCCGCAAGGGCGCUAUACAGGUGGUGCAUGGUUGUCGUCAGCUCGUGGCGUGAGAUGUUGGGUUAAGUCCCGCAACGAGCGCAACCCUCGUUCUGUGUUACCAGCAUUUAGUUGGGGACUCACAGGAGACUGCCGGGGUCAACUCGGAGGAAGGU